AACGAACGCUGGCGGCAUGCCUAACACAUGCAAGUCGAACGAGACCUUCGGGUCUAGUGGCGCACGGGUGCGUAACGCGUGGGAACCUGCCCUUAGGUUCGGAAUAACUCCCCGAAAGGGGUGCUAAUACCGGAUAAUGUCUUCGGACCAAAGAUUUAUCGCCUUUGGAUGGGCCCGCGUUGGAUUAGCUAGUUGGUAGGGUAAAAGCCUACCAAGGCGACGAUCCAUAGCUGGUCUGAGAGGAUGAUCAGCCACACUGGGACUGAGACACGGCCCAGACCCCUCCGGGGGGCAGCAGGGGGGAAUUUUGGACAAGGGGGGAAGGCCUAACCCAGCAAUGCCGGGUGAGUUAGAAGGGCCUUGGGGUUGAAAAGCUCUUUUCCCCGGAGUGAUAAUGACAGAACCGGGAGAAUAACCCCCGGCAACCCCCG
rnacentral:rRNA from 1 species